UACGUAGGGUGCAAGCGUUGUCCGGAAUUAUUGGGCGUAAAGAGCUCGUAGGCGGUCUGUCACGUCGGCUGUGAAAUCCCGAGGCUCAACCUCGGGUCUGCAGUCGAUACGGGCAAACUAGAGUAUUGCAGGGGAGACUGGAAUUCCUGGUGUAGCGGUGAAAUGCGCAGAUAUCAGGAGGAACACCGGUGGCGAAGGCGGGUCUCUGGGCAAUACUGACGCUGAGGAGCGAAAGCGUGGGGAGCAAACAGG
rnacentral:rRNA from 1 species